UAGGGUCAAAGUGUCCCGUUAUGAUGUC
rnacentral:sRNA from 1 species